UAUGCUGGACACACCACACAUAGGGUAAGGCUGCAUUUUCAAAUCCUGCACAAAGUUAUCCUUCCUAUGCCUACUAAAUCUAAUCAAUAAUAUAUUUCCCCUCCAGUUACGCUUUUUCUUGCUCUCUCUGGAGAUCGUUUCCAUACUCAUAUUCUAAACAUUUAAUAAGGCAUCACUCUGGCAAUUGCUUUGCUGGGCUCCCCCUCCACCUGUCCGGCCCGCACUCUCUGACUGGACUUUUGGAUUUUUUCCCAGUUAUACUGUGGGUCCCUGCAGGCCACUCUUGUGGGGCAUCGUUGAGGCCAUUUUGGGGGUGCUAACCACCCGUAUGGAGAAAAGUAACUAGGGAUCCUCAGGAUUAUAACCUUACUCUGGUCCAAAUAGAACUGAGAAACACAAUCUUUUGCAUCAUAUACCCUUUCCUCCGAAGAAGACCCAUAU